GGGGCUGUAUAUAUUCGACGGGAGGGGAAGUACUUUGAGUGCAAGCCGAUGCUGAACAGAGUCAUCGUAAAAAAUCUGGUCAAACACACAAACGCCAACGAAGAUUUGGCCCCUUCUUACGCAGUAGCGUAAGGAGGCGUUCUAGACCCUCUUUCUUGGUGGAGGACUAGGGUGUGACAACAGCCAAGAGGACUACCUCAAAAUUGGUCACUUUGAGGCUUGUCCCUAAACAAUCGACCUUUCUUUAAGCUUUAACUUGCUAACCAGCAAGCUUAAAGGAGAAUUUUGGUUAGAUAAGCUUGUAGUAUCUUUUAGUAGUUUCUUUUUCGGACCCCGGGGAAGAGCCGGGCAGCUCCACCA
rnacentral:tmRNA from 1 species